rnacentral:rRNA from 1 species
UACGUAGGGACCAAGCGUUGUCCGGAUUUAUUGGGCGUAAAGAGCUCGUAGGCGGCCCUCCACGUCGGAUGUGAAAGCUCACGGCUCAACCGUGAGAUGCCAUUCGAUACGGGAAGGCUAGAGGUAGGUAGGGGAAAGUGGAAUUCCUGGUGUAGCGGUGAAAUGCGCAGAUAUCAGGAGGAACACCGGUGGCGAAGGCGGCUUUCUGGGCCUUACCUGACGCUGAGGAGCGAAAGCUGGGGGAGCAAACAGG